GAUGAAGAACGCAGCGAAAUGCGAUAAGUAGUGUGAAUUGCAGAAUUCAGUGAAUCAUCGAAUCUUUGAACGCACAUUGCGCCCCUUGGUAUUCCAUGGGGCAUGCCUGUUCGAGCGUCAUUUGUACCUUCAAGCUUUGCUUGGUGUUGGGUGUUUGUCUCGCCUCUGCGUGUAGACUCGCCUUAAAACAAUUGGCAGCCGGCGUAUUGAUUUCAGAGCGCAGUACAUCUCGCGCUUUGCACUCAUAACGACGACGUCCAAAAGUACAUUUUUACACUCUUGACCUCGGAUCAGGUAGGGAUACCCGCUGAACUUAAGCAUAUCAAUAAGCGGAGGA
rnacentral:misc_RNA from 1 species